rnacentral:rRNA from 1 species
GUCUACGGCCAUACCACCCUGAACGCGCCCAAUCUCGUCUGAUCUCGGAAGCUAAGCAGGGUCGGGCCUGGUUAGUACUUGGAUGGGAAAAUGUUUUUUUUCUGUAACCA